rnacentral:rRNA from 1 species
GUCUAUAGCCAUGCCACCCUGAAAGUGCCCAAUCUCCUCUGAUCUUGGAAGCUAAGCAGGGUCAGGCCUGGUUAGUACUUUGGAGACGACCUAGGAAUACUAGGUGCUGUAGGUG